rnacentral:rRNA from 1 species
GAUGAACGCUGGCGGCGUGCUUAACACAUGCAAGUCGAACGAGAAGUGAAGACGGAAACCUUCGGGCGGAAGGCUUUAUUUCGAGUGGCGGACGGGUGAGUAACGCGUGGGUAACCUGCCCCAUACAGGGGGAUAACAGUUGGAAACGACUGUUAAUACCGCAUAAGGCCACAGCACCGCAUGGUGCGGGGGUAAAAACUCCGGUGGUAUGAGAUGGACCCGCGUUCGAUUAGCCAGUUGGCGGGGUAACGGCCCACCAAAGCGACGAUCGAUAGCCGAUCUGAGAGGAUGACCGGCCACAUUGGGACUGAGACACGGCCCAAACUCCUACGGGAGGCAGCAGUGGGGAAUAUUGCACAAUGGGGGAAACCCUGAUGCAGCGACGCCGCGUGAGUGAAGAAGUAUUUCGGUAUGUAAAGCUCUAUCAGCAGGGAAGAAAAUGACGGUACCUGAGUAAGAAGCCCCGGCUAACUACGU